rnacentral:rRNA from 1 species
UACGUAGGGUGCAAGCGUUGUCCGGAAUUAUUGGGCGUAAAGAGCUCGUAGGCGGUUUGUUGCGUCGGCUGUGAAAACCUGAGGCUCAACCUCAGGCCUGCAGUCGAUACGAGCAGACUAGAGUGUUGCAGGGGAGACUGGAAUUCCUGGUGUAGCGGUGAAAUGCGCAGAUAUCAGGAGGAACACCGGUGGCGAAGGCGGGUCUCUGGGCCGAUACUGACGCUGAGGAGCGAAAGCGUGGGGAGCAAACAGG